CGUGCCUGUUCACUGAUAAAUUGAAGAACCGCGGUAUUUUGACCGUGCAAAGGUAGCAUAAUCAUUAGUUUUUUAAUUGGGAACUGGAAUGAAUGGUUUGACAAGAUAAUAACUGUCUUUGGAUUAAUUAUUGAAUUUUAUUUUUAAGUAAAAAGGCUUAAAUAUUAAUAGGGGACGAGAAGACCCUAUAGAUCUUUAUAAUAUAUUUUAUUUUAUUAAUAUGGUUGAAUAAUGUAAUAAUAAUAUAAUGUGUAUUAUUUUGUUGGGGUGACAAGUGAAUAAUUUAACUUCAUUUGAUUAAACUUUUGUGGGUGAUUUAUUGGUCCUUUAUUAUGGAAUAAAGAUUAAGAUACCUUAGGGAUAACAGCGUUAUUUUAUUUGAGAGUUCUUAUCGAUAAUGAAGAUUGCGACCUCGAUGUUGGAUUAAAAUUACAUUUUUUGAUGUAAAUGUCAAUUAUGUUGGUCUGUUCGAC
rnacentral:rRNA from 1 species